UCCUCCAUUUGUGGGUUUUUGAUUUAGCUUUGCUCGAAUUCUGAGGCUCGAUGUCUCUUGUUAUACGCCUUUCCUCAAUCUACUACAAAACCAUCCCUCACUAUGUUGUCCUUAUUUCCCCCAAAUAUCCAAAUCUCAAUCUCUGCUCUUCCUUCCUAAUCCCCCUUACCACUUUUCCCGCUAUCAAAAUCCCCUAUUUUCCUUUUCUCAGCCAAAAUUUCUCUCCCCCAAUUCCAUUUGGCCUUUCAUUUCGGACGUUGCUACCAGGCUUAAUUGCGACUUCUCGCGUACCUCUUGGAAGAUGUGUAGAAAUCUAAAUUAUGCUCUAGCUCAGGUACUUGGACCACCUCCUUUCAUUCUUCUGUUACUAGAGGGUUGUGUCUUCCCUUGGUUGCAGUGUUCGAUUUGGUGUUUUGGCGAUAUCAAUUUUGGUGGAGUUGGUGAUUAUUGUGUGGUUGCUUUUGUGUUUUUGUGCUUCUGUUUUGUAAGGUUUUCUUGGUUUUGCUAUCUAAUUAAUGGGUUGUGACUUUUUUUGUAUUGUGUUUUUUUUUUUGGUGUUUUUGCUGCUGUAUUUUCAUGUGUGGUGGCAUCUUUCCCCAUCCAUUUGGGCCAUGGUACUGUGCCUGGCUUCCCAACUUUGACAACACUGUUGUUAGUCUGUUAGGGUUUGAAUUUACCUGGCCUUUUGUGGGCUUUAUGCCUUUAGUAGGAUUUAUGUAUGUAAGGACAUCCCCAAUGGGGUCUAUAUUUUGAGGCUCAACCACCAUAAGUCAUUCUAUAGUGUAGGCCUUAUAUAUGACUCUUAGGUGAUGUCAUAUCUCUUAACUAUUGGAUCAGGCUAACCAAUUUGAUCCAACGACUAACUAAUUUGAUCCAACAGUUAAGAGAUAUGGCCUCACCUAAGGGCCAUAUAUAAGGCUCUCAUUAUAGAAUUCUUGCAACCACCAUGAGGCUCUCAACUAUACAGCCCAAUACCAAAAAAAGCAUCCCUAGUGGCAUUGAUUUUGGGCUCUAAAUGAUGAAGCCCCACCGGAGAGGUCUCCAAAUAUGUGGAUAUGGAUAGAUCUCCUUAAGCGAAUACAUAAACAACAAUCCAGAUUGACUGCCUAUUUAGCUUAGUGAACCUAUAAUGGGUUUCAUAAACUACAUUCUUAGAUAAAAUUUAAGUCUGUGUUGCAUGACUUUAGGGGGGGAGGGGGGGAAUGAGGUUCCCUCUUCCUCUCCUUCCUAUAGUGGUUCUUCUCUUGCCUUCUACCUGCUGCCUGUUUCCAGUGGAUCUCUUUGUAGAGAUCUAUUGGCCCCCUUCGCCCUUUUUGUGUGUGGGUGUUUUGCUCUAGCUCUGCUUGAACUUUGAGGCUUUAUGCCUCCGACUUCCUUUAUUUCCCCAACUAUCCAUUCCACCAUCCUUUUCCUUUUAUAUUUCCUACCCCACUCCAUUCAAAUUUCUUCUCUUUAGUCUCGGUCCUAUCUUUUCCCACUGAAUUUUUCUCAUCACUAUUGAUCUGGCUCCACCAUGUGGCUGUUUCGGAUAGUCGGAAACACAUCUUCUUGCGUACAACUCAUAAGAUUAGUAGAGUUCAACCUUUUGCUCUUACUCAGGUGCUUGCACCACCUCCUUCUAUUAUGUCGUCGUUUGUUUAAUUAUUGUAUUUGUUCUGGUGCAUUAUCAGUUUUGAUUUGGGAGAUGUUGAGCUUCAUGUGGUGGCUUCUUUUUUCUUGUUUGUGUUUAUGUAAUAUGUGGAAUUUUAGGGUAUUUGGGUGGAUUUGUGGGUUGUGCAUUUUUUUUCACUUUGUGCCCCUUGGUUGUAGCAACUCAUCCCCUUAACUUGUCUAGGUGGUGUCGUCUCAGACGUUGGUGGCGGCGACUCGGCUGAGUUUUGUUUAGAGUUUGUAUGCUAAUUUGGCCUUUUGUUUGGGCUUUUGUGGGUGGGCUUAAUGCCUUUAUGAGCUUUAGGCUUGUUGUGGCCAUUUGGGCCUCUGGCCUUUUUGCUUUGAUGUUGAGCUCAAUUUGUUAGGUCUCACUUUUAUGUUGUAUUUUUAUGAUUUUCUAAUGAACUUUAGUUCCGACCACCAAACAAAAAAAACAAACAAAAAACAAACAAAAAAACCAAUGGCAAUUUAAAGAAAUUCAAUAUACCAACAUCAAUUUUUUUUUUCUUUUUUGAUUAUUUAAGUAUUUUGUGCAUUUCAAUUUUCCAUAUAAAAUGCACCUCCUUUAAAAAAUUUCACACCACCAAUAUCAUUCACCACAUUUGUUUCUACUUUCAAAGUCUUAAUAAUAUGCGUGUUCGUCGUUUCGGAAUCUUGUGUAAAUUUGAUUAUUUUGUUGUUAAAAGUUAAUAAAAAUAAAUAAUUUUUUUCUUCACAUAAAUCAAAUUACACCAUAAAAAUUCAAUUAUAGAGCCCCUAUUAUGGAAAAGAUACCUUUAGAGUUCAAAAUAUUUCAUCGAAACCCUAAAUGAGGCUCUAUCCACCUUUUUUAGAGCCUCAUUUAGAGAAUAUGAUUGAGGAUGCCCUAAUAAGUUUUAUGGCUAUAGCAACUUUAUUCCUUUUGUGUUGCAUUUCUUUGAGCUCAUUUUACUGAGUUCACUUUGAUGUACUGGCUCUGAAUUUCUAUAUCAAUGAAACUUGUUUCUGACCAAAAAAAUAAAAAAAAAAUAAAAACAGGGUUUGACCUAUUUCUAGAAGAGAGGCUUAAACUUUCAAUAGACUAGGAGCUAGUUGAUCAUGCAUUUUUGUUUGCUGUUACAGCCGCCGCGAGCAUAACUCCAAAUUUGGUAUUCCAAGUCUACGCAUGCAUGGGUCUUGGCAAAACAAACAAAGCACGACUUGUAGUUGUAGAGGUCAUAAUGAUGGAUGGACCAUUUUGGAAGUGUACAAUUCAGAACGUAAAAGCUUCACACAAAUAAGAUUAAUUGUUCUUAUGGAUUUGUUGUAUUCAGAGAAAACUAAUUUAGAUUGAAAUAAAGCACCAUUGACUUUAUUGAAACGAUUAAUAUGUAAGUCAUCUACACGUCGUACAUUUUAGAUCAUAUGCAUAUGCUUAUAUCAUGCAUGCCCUCAGUCUCAGAUAUGCAUGCUGCUUAAUUAAUUAAUUAUCUUUUUUAGUAACACUUUACUUCAUUGGUUGUGUUUGCUGUGUUGGUUGUGUUUGUUUCGUUCAUUGGUUGUCUGUUUUUCACUUUCUAGACUUAAGAGUUGCACUAGACAAAUGGUUAGGAAACAUAAAUAUGAAAGUGCAAAAAGAAAUAGAAGGAGAAAAAUAGAAAAAAUGAUUCAAACUCAAAAAGGAGCUCUUGAUAAGUUUUUUAAAACUAGUUCUUCAAUUGAAGAUUCAGCUAAUGAUUUACUUAAUGAAGGGGUGACGGGGUUGGUGAUCUCAGUGAAAAUGAAAAUAAUCUGGAAGAAAUGACGAUUUACUUUCUUUGGUUUCAGUUUUAUGUCUUAGAAAAUAUGUAUGUUGUUACUUAUUGUAGUUUCUUUGUCCAUUUGUGCUACCAUUUGUUACUUUUCUUAUGUUGUAUGAUUCUUUUUGCAGACCACAAAGAGGAUUUUGCAUGUAAAGUCAUGUGAUGAAGCCUGAAGCCAGACGCCAAUCUUAAGUGAAAGGGUUUAGUAUUUUGAACAAAUACUUAGUUUUAAUGUAUCUUUUGAGAAUACAAAUUACCAAUUUCAGGGACAAUGUUUCCAUUAUUGGUUGCUGGAAUGUUGGUUUGUAAAUUUGUAAUUUCCUCCAUGAU
rnacentral:lncRNA from 1 species